rnacentral:tRNA from 1 species
GCGGGCGUGGUGGAAUUGGUAGACACGACAGACUUAGGAUCUGUUGGCGCUAGCCGUGGGGGUUCAAGUCCCUCCGCCCGCACCA